UACGAAGGGGGCUAGCGUUGCUCGGGAUUACUGGGCGUAAAGGGAGCGUAGGCGGACAGUUUAGUCAGAGGUGAAAGCCCAGGGCUCAACCCUGGAAUUGCCUUUGAUACUGAUUGUCUUGAGUAUGGGAGAGGUGAGUGGAACUCCGAGUGUAGAGGUGAAAUUCGUAGAUAUUCGGAAGAACACCAGUGGCGAAGGCGACUCACUGGCCCAUUACUGACGCUGAGGCUCGAAAGCGUGGGGAGCAAACAGG
rnacentral:rRNA from 1 species